GACGAACGCUGGCGGCGUGCUUAACACAUGCAAGUCGAACGGAAAGGCCCUGCUUUUGUGGGGUGCUCGAGUGGCGAACGGGUGAGUAACACGUGAGUAACCUGCCCUUGACUUUGGGAUAGCUUCAGGAAACUGGGGCUAAUACCGGAUAGGAGCUCCUGCUGCAUGGUGGGGGUUGGAAAGUUUCGGCGGUUGGGGAUGGACUCGCGGCUUAUCAGCUUGUUGGUGGGGUAGUGGCUUACCAAGGCUUUGACGGGUAGCCGGCCUGAGAGGGUGACCGGCCACAUUGGGACUGAGAUACGGCCCAGACUCCUACGGGAGGCAGCAGUGGAGAAUAUUGCACAAUGGGCGGAAGCCUGAUGCAGCAACGCCGCGUGCGGGAUGAUGGCCUUCGGGUUGUAAACCGCUUUCGCCUGUGACGAAGCGUGAGUGACGGUAAUGAGUAAAGAAGCACCGGCUAACUACGUG
rnacentral:rRNA from 1 species